CCUACGGGAGGCAGCAGUGGGGAAUCUUCCGCAAUGGGCGAAAGCCUGACGGAGCAACGCCGCGUGAGUGAAGAAGGCCUUCGGGUUGUAAAACUCUGUCUUCAGGGAAGAAAGAGAUGACGGUACCUGAGGAGGAAGCCACGGCUAACUACGUGCCAGCAGCCGCGGUAAUACGUAGGUGGCAAGCGUUGUCCGGAAUUACUGGGCGUAAAGAGCGCGUAGGCGGGGAUUUAAGUCAGGAGUGAAAACUGCGGGCUCAACCUGCAGCCUGCUCUUGAAACUGGAUUUCUUGAGGGUAUGAGAGGAAAGCGGAAUUCCCAGUGUAGGGGUAAAAUGCGUAGAUAUCGGGAGGAACACCAGUGGCGAGGGCGGCUCUCUGGAUUGCGACUGACGCUGAGGCGCGAAAGCUAGGGGAGCAAACAGGAUUAGAUCCCCUGGUAGU
rnacentral:rRNA from 1 species